rnacentral:rRNA from 1 species
ACGAACGCUGGCGGCGUGCUUAACACCUGCAAGUCGAACGGAAAGGCCCUGCUUUUGUGGGGUGCUCGAGUGGCGAACGGGUGAGUAACACGUGAGUAACCUGCCCUUGACUUUGGGAUAACUUCAGGAAACUGGGGCUAAUACCGGAUAGGAGCUCCUGCUGCAUGGUGGGGGUUGGAAAGUUUCGGCGGUUGGGGAUGGACUCGCGGCUUAUCAGCUUGUUGGUGGGGUAGUGGCUUACCAAGGCUUUGACGGGUAGCCGGCCUGAGAGGGUGACCGGCCACAUUGGGACUAAGAUACGGCCCAGACUCCUACGGGAGGCAGCAGUGGGGAAUAUUGCACAAUGGGCGGAAGCCUGAUGCAGCAACGCCGCGUGCGGGAUGACGGCCUUCGGGUUGUAAACCGCUUUCGCCUGUGACGAAGCGUGAGUGACGGUAAUGGGUAAAGAAGCACCGGCUAACUACGUG